GACGAACGCUGGCGGCGUGCUUAACACAUGCAAGUCGAACGGAAAGGCCCUGCUUUUGUUGGGUGCUCGAGUGGCGAACGGGUGAGUAACACGUGAGUAACCUGCCCUUGACUUUGGGAUAACUUCAGGAAACUGGGGCUAAUACCGGAUAGGAGCUCCUGCUGCAUGGUGGGGGUUGGAAAGUUUCGGCGGUUGGGGCUGGACUCGCGGCUUAUCAGCUUGUUGGUGGGGUAGUGGCUUACCAAGGGUUUGACGGGUAGCCGGCCUGAGAGGGUGACCGGCCACAUGGGGACUGAGAGACGGCCCAGACUCCUACGGGAGGCAGCAGGGGGGAAUAUUGCACAAUGGGCGGAAGCCUGAUGCAGAAACGCCGCGUGCGGGAUGACGGCCUUCGGGUUGUAAACCGCUUUCGCCUGUGACGAAGCGUGAGUGACGGUAAUGGGUAAAGAAGCACCGGCUAACUACGUG
rnacentral:rRNA from 1 species